CCCCCUUCACUCUCUCUCUCUCCUGACCUCCUGACGCCACGAGAAGAAAGUGCUUGCUUCCCCUUCACUUUCCAUCAUGACUUUAAGUUUCCAGAGGUCUCACAGUCAUGCAUCCUGUUAAGCCUGUGGAACUCACUUUGGCAGCCGAGAUGGGCAGAUUACCUGACGUCAGGAGUUCAAGACCAGCCUGGCCAUUUUGCUUUUGAAAUUGUGCUGAUUUGGAUUGGAGUCUACUGGCCUACUCUUCUAGACCAUGGAGAGAAUACACAAUAUCCUAGAAAACACAGAAACGAAGAGUGUGCAUAGCAUGUUUCUUGAAAUGAAUGACUGAACAAUGAAGCACAGGACAACAUAACAACACAGUAUAACCUCAGGAUGCAUUGAGUCAUUUGGCCCUCACUUGGGCAUGCCUUUGGCUUCGUUCUUGGUGUCUUUUAUUGAAGCUUCCCAGGAACACACCUGUCCUGCCUCUGAUUUGAACCUUCUUGAUUCCCACCUUCAGCAGUGUUCUCUCCCACAACUUCGACAGAGAUUCUCUAAUCAUCCACAAAGGCAUUAAAGCUCCACUCACUUUAUAUUUAUGUCCUUUUCCCUGGAAUGGAAAGAAACCUCUGUGUUGAUUGAGAUCAUUAGAAAUUCCCCCAGAGAGACAUGGACUCAUUGUGUUCUUCCCGUGUGUUAAUAUGGAUUUACCAGAAGCCCCUGGAGAGCUGUGUGUUUAUACGCACAGUUCCUGUUCAAGAAGGGUAACGACCUGCAGUGUUUACAGUGCACAGGCCCUUUGGAAAUGGUCUCCAAGUGACUUUAAAUAAAUUGAAGCGAGUUAGAGGCACACUGUUCCUGACGCGUGCUAUUUCUUCUGGGCAGGCUCCCUGGGGAAGGAUGAAUUGAUGCUGUGUUGAGCUCUCCCUGCACAAAGAAGAAAGUUUUCUGAGGAGGAGCCCCGGAGAAGAGCAGGGGAAAGGGUGAGGAGGGAGGGAGAGAGGAAGGCCUCCUUGGCCACUGAAUGUGUGGGGCUUUUACAAACUGUCCUUUUUAAAACCUACAAUUUCAGGCCUGAAAUUAAAAUUUAGGUACAUCAAGAUGGUGCAGAACAUUAAUGUGGAGGGACAUUUAGAGUAUUUUUAUCAGGGCUUCUUAUAAACUCAGUGUAACCACACAACCAAUUCAGUCUGGUUCAGUGUUGUCUGUAACAAUAUUUAACAAAGUGAUGAGUUGUUUUUCAAUUGCAACAGACCCCCAGGUUGCAAGUCAAGUAACCAGAGCAUGCCCAGGUGAACCAAGCAUGUCAGAUUUGAGACUGUGGAGCUAACCUGAAGGAAAAAGUCGUCCGUAAGCAGCACCUAAGUACUCAGAUCAAGAGGCCAGGCCCAAUUAAGAAGGGAGAGGUGCCCUGUUUUGUUGCAGUAUGAAGUUAAAAGCCAAGGACCCAACACCACAUCUUUGCAUCACCCAAUCAGGUCACACUUCUUUGCAUCUUCCUGUCUUCCUCAUAGCUACUCUCUGCCUGUAAAACCUGUCCCCAGUCCCCAGCUCUGGGAGACAGACUUGAGCACUGCUCCCUGUCUCCUGGCCAAUUAACUUGCAAUAAAGCUUUUUUCCUCCUUAAAAGCCAGUACCAUAUUA